AGUCUCCUUUUCUUUUUUCCCAACACCAAAUUACGGAAGGAACGAGGCCUUGCGCUGAGUACCUGUCCGGAUGGAACAGAGUUGCUGGUACUUCGGUAUUGGCAGCGCUGCUCCAACCCUUUAAACACUUAAGAAUUAAAGAAUGUUAAAACCAUUGUCUUCGGACAUAAACUAAUAUACAAAAAAAAAACAACGGAUCUCUUGGUUCUCCCAUCGAUGAAGAACGCAGCGAAAUGCGAUAAGUAAUGUGAAUUGCAGAAUUCAGUGAAUCAUCGAAUCUUUGAACGCACCUUGCGCCCUUGGGUAUUCUCAAGGGCAUGCCUGUUUGAGUGUCAUAAUACUCUCAACUCUCAAUCUUUUUGUAAGAGAAGAUUGCUUGGAGUUGGUGAUGGGCGCUUGCCAGAUGUAACAGUCUUGCUCGCCUUAAAUUAAUCAGUGGAUCUCUUCGAGUCCGGUCUGACUAUGUGUGAUAAUUUGAUCACAUAGAAUGUGCUUGUCACAACCGGAUUCUGUAUAGAGGCUCUGCUUCCAACACGGAAUGAUUCUUCGGAAUCAUCGAUAGCUUUGUAGCUUGACCUCAAAUCAGGCUCGUAUUUGCUGGG
rnacentral:rRNA from 1 species